rnacentral:rRNA from 1 species
AUGUUAACUAUCUCCCAUACCUCUCAUGAGUUUAUGGAAGACUUGAAGGAGGCAGAUUUGUGUGUUGCACUUGCUGUAAAAGGAGAAGAGCACCUAACUGUUGAAAUUCCAGCAAAGGUACGUGGUUUAUUGGCAGAAUUUCAGAACAUACUUGGAGAGCCACAAGGUCUGCCACCGAUGAGAGGAAUUCAACAUAGAAUUGACUUAAUUCCGGGAGCAGGUCUUCCUAAUCUUCCACACUGUCGAAUGAGCCCAAAGGAGCAUGAUAUAUUGAAGGAGAAAGUGGAGGAAUUGCUACAAAAGGGGCACAUUCGAGAAAGUAUUAGCCCAUGUGCUGUGCCAGCCCUACUCGCGCCAAAGAAAGAUGGAUCUUGGCGCAUGUGUACGGACAGUAGAGCCAUUAACAAGAUCACCGUAAGGUAUAGAUUCCCGAUUCCCGGUCUAGAUGAUAUGUUGGAUCAGCUUAGUGGAGCAAGAGUGUUCAGAAAGCUAGAUUUAAGAAGCGGAUAUCAUCUAAUCCGUAUCAGACCCGGGGGUGAAUGGAAAACCGCCUUCAAGGCAAAGGAAGGGUUGUUUGAAUGGCUAGUCAUGCCAUUUGGACUCUCAAAUGCACCAAGUACCUUUAUGUGCUUAAUGAAUCAAGUCCUUUGA